CCCUUUUUCCAUUUUUUUUUCUUCUUCUUCCUCCUCCCAGUCCGGUCGCCCACAACCUGCGCCCAGGCUGGUCCGGAUCUACCCCACACUCCUCCAAAACUCGGAUCUCCUCUCUCUUUUUCCUGAAUCAGUGGUAUUUCCUCUCUUUUUUUUUAAUUUUUUUUUCUUCUUCUUCUUCUUCCUGUUAACCCUAAACUUGCAUUAUUAUUAUUAUUAUUUUUUUUUGCAGAUCUCUUGUACUUCUUGCACCAUAAUCUCAUC
rnacentral:lncRNA from 1 species